CAGACAGACACCCUCAGAGAAUCACAUCGCUGACAUCAUUAUUCAGCGAGUAAGUGAACAAGAACUAGAAUCAGCGAGUGAAAGAGUCAGCAAUCGAAAGAACAAGUCAGCGAUCGAGCGAGUAAAUGACGGAACGAGGCAGCAAGCGAGCUCUUAAUGACCCCGCCAGUGAUCCCAGUUCCAUCCAGAGAUGCAUCGCGCCUCGAAAGUGCUGAUUAAAAAUGGAGUGAGCCAGAGAGGAUUGACGACACUUUGGAGCUGAGCACGACGCUGGCCCCGCUGUAGUGAAAACAAAACAAAAACACGGGACCUAAAUGCGUGUGCUUCACCCCUGGCAGAAAUUUGCACAGUACCUUUGUUCAAAGUCUCACCCAGACUGGUUCAGAUUUAAAGGAAUCGUCGGAGAGGAAUAACCGCCCCUCCCUUUUACCCCUUUCGAAUGUACGUAAUUGUAUAGAUUUUCGAGUCCGAUGUAAGAAAUGUGUUAUUGUUUUUUGGGGGGUUUGUGUUUGCAUGUAUUUGCCGGGUGUAUGUGUGAGUAUGUCAUACUAUAUAAAAGAUACAUACUCUCUGUAGUAUUUGUAUUAUCUGUAUAUACCUCAAUAAUUAGAAUUAAACCGUCACCUUGCUUUUACCACAUUGAGGUUUUGUUACCAAGGUAAGGUGACCCAGAGAAUGAAACAUAUUCGCAUUCAGUUAAAAGCUGUUUUGCCACUUUUUUCGAAGACACCACAAUUCAAAAUGCUCUCAGAGCUAUUUAAAUUUCAUUAGAGGAUUCAUCAAUGUUAUAUGAUCCUCAAAGGACUUCGUAAUGAUCGAUGUCAGAGCAAAACACCAUUUGUGCUUUCUUUUUAUUUUGUAUGUUAUUUAUGAAGUGUUUCAGCUACUGUAUUUUGAUAUACACCUCAUGGUAUUCAUAUAUCAUGUAUGGGAUACCUAAUAUAUGGCCCUCUAUGUAAAUAAAAUUGAAUGAAGUUUGUGCAUUAUCUUGGUUAAAUCAUGUUGACAAUAAUACAUAUUUAUAUAAAUAUUUAUACCAGUGACUUGAUAUAAAUGAACUUACUUAAAAAUAUCUGUUAAUAUAUCUUACCAUUGCUACAUACUUCUAUUAAUUCUUUAAUAUGAAUACCUUUCCUUCCAUUUUGUUUCAGUCUCCACAUUAUGUGGCAAAAUAAAGCAAUCAUCAUUUCUGAAGUAAGUUUGAUUUCGAGAAAUAAAUUCCCUUUAUAACUCCUUGAAUUUCCCUCAAUAGAUAUAUUUUGCCAUCUGCAUUUUUUUUUGUACUUACAGUGUCUCUGUAGAAUUUGAAAGGAUGAUAACGAAUUAUUGGUGAUUGCAAGAGUUAUGAGACGCAUAUCAACACAAAUCAGACAUUCAAUCAUGUCGUGGCUGUCACAGACAUAAAAAAUUUAAG